ACACUCCUACGGGAGGCAGCAGUGGGGAAUUUUGGACAAUGGGCGUAAGCCUGAUCCAGCAAUGCCGCGUGUGUGAAGAAGGCCUUCGGGUUGUAAAGCACUUUUGUCCGGAAAGAAAUCCUUGGCUCUAAUACAGUCGGGGGAUGACGGUACCGGAAGAAUAAGCACCGGCUAACUACGUGCCAGCAGCCGCGGUAAUACGUAGGGUGCGAGCGUUAAUCGGAAUUACUGGGCGUAAAGCGUGCGCAGGCGGUUUGCUAAGACCGAUGUGAAAUCCCCGGGCUCAACCUGGGAAAUGCAUUGGUGACUGGCAGGCUAGAGUAUGGCAGAGGGGGGUAGAAUUCCACGUGUAGCAGUGAAAUGCGUAGAGAUGUGGAGGAAUACCGAUGGCGAAGGCAGCCCCCUGGGCCAAUACUGACGCUCAUGCACGAAAGCGUGGGGAGCAAACAGGAUUAGAUACCCGGGUAGUCCCAUG
rnacentral:rRNA from 1 species